rnacentral:rRNA from 1 species
GAUGAACGCUGGCGGCGUGCCUAAUACAUGCAAGUCGAGCGAACAGACGAGGAGCUUGCUCCUCUGACGUUAGCGGCGGACGGGUGAGUGACACGUGGAUAACCUACCUAUAAGACUGGGAUAAAUUCGGGAAACCGGAGCUAAUACCGGAUAAUAUAUUUAACCGCAUGGUUCAAUAGUGAAAGACGGUUUUGCUGUCACUUAUUGAUGGAUCCGCGCCGCAUUAGCUAGUUGGUAAGGUAAGCGCUUACCAAGGCGACGAUGCGUAGCCGACCUUAGAGGGUAAUGGGCAAAACUGGACCUGAGACACGUCCCAGACUCCUACGGGGGGAACCAUAAGGGAAUCUUCCGCAAUGGGCGAAAGCCUGACGAAGCAACGCCGCGUGAUGGAUAAAGGUCUUCGGAUCGUAAAACUCUGUUAUUGGGAAAGAACAAAUGUGUAAGUAACUAUGCGCAUCUUGACGGUACCUAAUCAGAAAGCCACGGCAAACUACGUG